rnacentral:rRNA from 1 species
CGGCGGACGGGUGAGUAACGCGUGGGUAACCGUGCCUCAUACAGGGGGAUAACAGUUGGAAACGGCUGCUAAUACCGCAUAAGCGCACAGUACCGCAUGGUACGGUGUGAAAAAACUCCGGUGGUAUGAGAUGGACCCGCGUCUGGUUAGGUAGUUGGUGGGGUAACGGCCUACCAAGCCGACGAUCAGUAGCCGACCUGAGAGGGUGACCGGCCACAUUGGGACUGAGACACGGCCCAA